UCGCCGGAAGAGGAGCCCGCGGCUGAUUAGCUAGUUGGUGAGGUAAAGGCUCACCAAGGCAUUGAUCGGUAGCCGGCCUGAGAGGGCACACGGCCACACUGGCACUGAAACACGGGCCAG
rnacentral:rRNA from 1 species